UAAUACAGAGGUGGCGAACGUUGUUCGGAAUUAUUGGGCGUAAAGAGCACGUAGGUGGGUUUGCAAGUCAGAUGUGAAAGCCUUCUGUUCAACGGAAGAAUUGCAUCUGAAACUGCUAAUCUUGAGUAUAGGAGGGGAGAAUGGAACUUCUGGUGGAGCGGUGAAAUGCGUAGAUAUCAGAAGGAACGCCGGCGGCGGAAGCGAUUCUCUGGCCUAUUACUGACACUCAGUGUGCGAAAGCUAGGGGAGCAAACGGGAUUAGAUACCCCGGUAGUCCUAGCCGUAAACGAUGGGCACUAAGUAGAGGGAAUUACCGAUGUUCUCUCUGCCGUAGCUAACGCAUUAAGUGCCCCGCCUGGGGAGUACGGCCGCAAGGCUA
rnacentral:rRNA from 1 species